AUGCCGCGCCUGCGCAGGUGGCGGCCGGGGCGGGGCCGGGGGAGGCCCUGUGGGCGGGGGCCGACUGAGGUGGGCGUGGUCGCGGCGCACGAGUGGGUGGGGCAGGCCGAGGUGGGCGGCCGCUUGCUGGGCCAGGCCCGCCUUCGCCUUCGGAAGUGCCCUGGCGAGGAAGCCCGAGAGGGCGUGGAGACCCGAGUUCCCACCCCUUCUACCCUGCGGACGACCUCGUUCGGCCAGGACAUCCAGGUGUCCUUGUGUCCCACCGUAUCUGGCCAGCUGAGGCAGGUCCCUGAGGCAAGUGGCCUGUUGCCAAGACACCAGAGGGGUCUGCCUGUUACUGUAAUGGAAGUGGAAACAGCAACUGGAAGUAACCUCUGCUUACUAAAAGACUGCAUCUUCAUCACAGAGAAGGACAAAGAUUAGCAAUGUAGCCUGCAGAGGAGGCAGCUUUACACCCAUCCUUUAACUGAGUUUUAUGAGCCUGUAUGCAUUCUGCAAUAACAAAGUUGUGCCGAACGUUGUCGUGCAUGUACCUGUCACAAGAUAUUCUUUAACAUCAAUUAUUAAACAUCAUUUGAAGUGGUCACAUGAGAUCAUGAACCAGAUUUACUUGUGCCAUGUGAUGCUGGACACUGUACCUGCUUCUGUCUGUUUAUGGUGAAAAUCUGACUGGAUAAUGUUCUACUUGGGGUGCUUUGGAGUGAGCCAGUAUCAUUGGAAUUGAUCCCAUGAAAGCACAGAGCAAGGGAGGGACACACCGGGUGGAGGCAGGGGUUGGGUGCCCUGGCUGGCUGCAUCCAGGACCGCCCCUCUGAGGGCCACCCUAGCAGAAGUGACACUGUCUACAGGCCAGUGGCUCUCUCCCAGCUUUGGGGGUCUGGGCCCAGCAGAGUUCACAGUGUAGUCUUUCUGUCAAGUUUGG
rnacentral:lncRNA from 1 species